CUGUUCUGCUCAGUUGCUCCCUGUGGCCUCGGCCAGAAUGGUGGUCUCUUCCUCUGUGGCAUGUCUGUGACUCUCGGGCAGCAGGCCUCUUCCAGAGAGACAGCUGUUUCCUCUCCCCCAAGACCUACAGCCUCGUCUCUGGUUUGCAGUUAACAUGUUUCGAACAUUACCACCUUCCUCCAAUCCUACGGGAGCGGAAUUUGACCCGGAGGAAGAUGAACCAACGUUAGAAGCAGCCUGGCCUCAUCUACAGCUUGUUUAUGAAUUUUUCUUAAGAUUUUUAGAGUCUCCAGAUUUCCAACCUAAUAUAGCGAAGAAAUAUAUUGAUCAGAAGUUUGUAUUGCAGCUUUUAGAGCUCUUCGACAGUGAAGAUCCUCGGGAGAGAGAUUUUCUUAAAACCACCCUUCACAGAAUCUAUGGGAAAUUCCUAGGCUUGAGAGCUUACAUCAGAAAACAGAUCAAUAAUAUAUUUUAUAG
rnacentral:sRNA from 1 species